rnacentral:tRNA from 1 species
GGGGCAUUGGCGCAGUUGGUAGCGCGACUCGUUCGCAUCGAGUAGGUCAGGGGUUCGAUUCCCCUAUGCUCCACCA